rnacentral:rRNA from 1 species
GAUGAACGCUGGCGGCGUGCUUAACACAUGCAAGUCGAACGGAAAGGCCGAAGCUUGCUUCGGUACUCGAGUGGCGAACGGGUGAGUAACACGUGGGUGAUCUGCCCUGUACUUCGGGAUAAGCUUGGGAAACUGGGUCUAAUACCGGAUAUGACAAUCUCUUGGAUGGGGUUGUGGAAAGCUUUUGCGGUAUGGGAUGAGCUCGCGGCCUAUCAGCUUGUUGGUGGGGUAAUGGCCUACGAAGGCGUCGACGGGUAGCCGGCCUGGGAGGGUGGACGGCCACAUUGGGACUGAGAUACGGACCAGUCUCCUACGGGAGGCAGCAGUGGAGAAUAUUGCACAAUGGGCGCAAGCCUGAUGCAGCGACGCCGCGUGGGGGAUGACGGCCUUCGGGUUGUAAACUCCUUUCGCAACCGACGAAGCUUUUGUGACGGUAGGUUGAGAAGAAGCACCGGCUAACUACGUG